rnacentral:rRNA from 1 species
CAGCCGCCGCGGUAAUACGUAGGUGGCAAGCGUUGUCCGGAAUUAUUGGGCGUAAAGGGCUCGCAGGCGGUUUCUUAAGUCUGAUGUGAAAGCCCCCGGCUCAACCGGGGAGGGUCAUUGGAAACUGGGAAACUUGAGUGCAGAAGAGGAGAGUGGAAUUCCACGUGUGGCGGUGAAAUGCGUAGAGAUGUGGAGGAACACCAGUGGCGAAGGCGACUCUCUGGUCUGUAACUGACGCUGAGGAGCGAAAGCGUGGGGAGCGAACAGGAUUAGAUACCCCAGUAGUCCCUGUCUCUUAUAA